CCAACCCACCGAUCCGCGCACCGCCAAAGCCCGACCGAGCCAGCCCUCCCCCUCCGGCGCCGACCCACCGCCGCUCACCAUGGAGCCCGCGGCGAUGGACCGCAUCGCCGCCCGGCUCUCCGCCGUCGACGGCCUCUACUUCCCCACGGCCUUCCUCCGCACCUCGCCGCCGCCGGAGACGCGCAAGUCCGCCCUCCUCGACCUCCUCUCCCGCGACGCGCCGCUCUUCCUCGAGCGGUACGGCGCCGCGCUGCGCCCGGACGAGCUGGCCCCCUUCGACGCCCUCCGGGAUGACUACGAGGUGGGCUGGCACCUCCGCCGCCUCCGCGCCGCGGCCGCCGGGGAGGCCCCGGCCCCCGCGCGCGUGCGCAACCGGCGCCGCGCCUACCUCCACCGCCUGGUGAGCCAGGGGGACUACUUCUCCGAGGAGGCGAUGCGGGAGCGGGAGCCGUACCUGCACCACGAGUACCUCGGCAGGUUCCAGGACCCCUUCGGGCGGGCCAUGGUGCGGCCCGGGGAGAAGUUCUCCGAGACGCUGAUGCGGCGGGCCGAGGAGGCCGUCAUCGUGGAGAAGAUCCGCGGGGAGCAGAUCAGGAGGGGUGUUGACCCCAGCGAGUGGGUCGGCGGCCCCGUUGAGCGGCCGAUGAUGGGGCAGGAGGAAGAGGAGGAGGAAGAGGAAGAAGAGGAGGAGGAGGAAGAAGAGGAAGAAGAGAACAUCGGCAUGGAGGAGAACACCGAGAAUCUUAGCUCGACUGAGACUGCAGGCCCCCCUGCAGGGACUUUCAAGCCGAUAUUGUCCCCCGAGGAGAUGGAGGAUCAGCUGGAGCAGUUCACCUCGGUGAUGCAGGAGAAGUUCCUGUCAGGCCAAGACUCGGAGCACAUGGACUACCUCCAGAUCGACAACGACGAGAUGCUGGACGACCACUGGUCCAGGGAGGCCAACUACGACGCGGAGGACAAGUACUUCAACGAAGAUUAGGACGGUCCACAAUGUAGUCGGCUGCUAUUUAAGUUGCAUACUCGGUCAGUGGCGUACGUCGGGCAUGUUCAGACCCUGUAGUGUUGUUUGUUAGCAGCAUGUAAAUAUAUGAUGCAACCGUGUAUGUGUUGGACACAGGCACACAGUUUACACAUCCCCAUGAGUUGUGAUGAGCUCUAUCCAAGUGGAGUUUGAUACUUCUCGGUCUCGCUUUCACUCUUGGUGCUGUUAGUUUCUCCUUGUCAAAAUGUAGGUCAAGUGGCAUGGCAUGUGACCUUUUUCUUUUUCCUUAUUUAUUCUUCAG
rnacentral:rRNA from 1 species